UACGGAGGAUGCAAGCGUUAUCCGGAAUGAUUGGGCGUAAAGCGUCCGCAGGUGGCUAUGUAAGUCUGCUGUUAAAGAGUGAGGCUCAACCUCAUAAGAGCAGUGGAAACUACAUGGCUAGAGUGCGUUCGGGGCAGAGGGAAUUCCUGGUGUAGCGGUGAAAUGCGUAGAUGUCAGGAAGAACACCGGUGGCGAAAGCGCUCUGCUAGGCCGCAACUGACACUGAGGGACGAAAGCUAGGGGAGCGAAUGGG
rnacentral:rRNA from 1 species